GAUGAACGCUGGCGGCGUGCCUAAUACAUGCAAGUCGAGCGAACAGACGAGGAGCUUGCUCCUCUGACGUUAGCGGCGGACGGGUGAGUAACACGUGGAUAACCUACCUAUAAGACUGGGAUAACUUCGGGAAACCGGAGCUAAUACCGGAUAAUAUAUUGAACCGCAUGGUUCAAUAGUGAAAGACGGUUUUGCUGUCACUUAUAGAUGGAUCCGCGCCGCAUUAGCUAGUUGGUAAGGUAACGGCUUACCAAGGCAACGAUGCGUAGCCGACCUGAGAGGGUGAUCGGCCACACUGGAACUGAGACACGGUCCAGACUCCUACGGGAGGCAGCAGGAGGGAAUCUUCCGCAAUGGGCGAAAGCCUGACGGAGCAACGCCGCGUGAGUGAUGAAGGUCUUCGGAUCGUAAAACGCUGUUAUUAGGGAAGAACAAAUGUGUAAGUAACUAUGCACGUCUUGACGGUACCUAAGCAGAAAGCCACGGCUAACUACGU
rnacentral:rRNA from 1 species